rnacentral:rRNA from 1 species
UACGUAGGGUGCAAGCGUUUAAUCGGAAUUACUGGGCGUAAAGCGUGCGCAGGCGGUGAUGUAAGACAGGUGUGAAAUCCCCGGGCUUAACCUGGGAACUGCAUUUGUGACUGCAUCGCUGGAGUGCGGCAGAGGGGGAUGGAAUUCCGCGUGUAGCAGUGAAAUGCGUAGAGAUGCGGAGGAACACCGAUGGCGAAGGCAGCCCCCUGGGCUGACACUGACGCUGAGGAGCGAAAGCGUGGGGAGCGAACAGG